GUUUGGUCCUAACCUUAAAAUCAGUUCUUUCUUAACUUACACAUGCAAGUUUCCGCAUCCCUGUGAAAACGCCCUCUCACCCCCACCAAGGGGUAAGGAGCCGGUAUCAGGCACAAACCUUAGCCCAAGACACCUAGCUAUGCCACACCCACAAGGGAAUUCAGCAGUGAUUAACAUUGAAAAUAAGUGACAGCUUGACUCAGUUAAAGAAAAAAGAGCCGGCUAAUCUGGUGCCAGCCGCCGCGGUUACACCAAGUGGCUCAAAUUGACUGCUUUCGGCGUAAAGCGUGAUUAAAGAGAUCCCAUAUUGGUGCCAAAAGACCACUAAGCCGUGACACGCUUGUGAUCAAGAAGACCUAGAACGAAAGUUACACCAACCCAAUCCACUUGAAUUCACGACAGCUAAGAAACAAACUGGGACUAGAUACCCCACUAUGCUUAGCCGUAAACUUUAACCUACACCUCAAUCGCCAGGGAACUACGAGCAAAGCUUAAAACCCAAAGGACUUGACGGUACCCCAAAUCCACCUAGAGGAGCCUGUCCUUUAAUCGAUAACCCCCGAUUCACCUCACCACUUUUUGCCUAUCAGCCUGUAUACCUCCGUCGUCAGCUUACCUCGUGAGCGUAACUAAGUGAGCUUAAUGCCCAUGCGCCAACACGUCAGGUCAAGGUGCAGCUAAUAAAAUGGGAAGAGAUGGGCUACACUUUCUACCAUAGAAAAAACGAAAGACUAACUAUGAAACCUAGUCGGAAGGAGGAUUUAGCAGUAAAAAGAAAUCAGAGUGUUCUUUUUAACUAGGCA
rnacentral:ncRNA from 1 species